rnacentral:rRNA from 1 species
AACGAACGCUGGCGGCAUGCCUAACACAUGCAAGUCGAACGGGAUCCUGGCUUCGGUCAGGUGAGAGUGGCGGACGGGUGAGUAACGCGUGGGAACCUGCCCAGUGGUGGGGGAUAACUGCGGGAAACUGCAGCUAAUACCGCAUGAGCCCGAGAGGGGAAAGAUUUAUCGCCAUUGGAGGGGCCCGCGUUCGAUUAGGUAGUUGGUGAGGUAACGGCUCACCAAGCCGACGAUCGAUAGCUGGUCUGAGAGGAUGAUCAGCCACACUGGGACUGAGAUACGGCCCAGACUCCACGGGAGGCAGCAGUGGGGAAUAUUGGACGAAUGGGCGAAAGACCUGAUCCAGCAAUGCCGCGUGAGUGAUGAAGGCCUUA